GUCCCAGUUAAGUUUCAAUUCAAUUCAAAUUGAAUUUGUUUGUAAUUUGGAUUUUGGUUGGAUUGAUUGAACGAAAGGAAAGAUAGGAAAGAAGAAAGAAGAUCGCUGUUAAAGUGCUAGGCCAGGCCUUCAACUACAUUACAAGAAGAUACAAGAAGAAGCAGUGAUAGUGAAGGAAGGAAGAACAAUUAAUCUGCUAGAACGAAACGGCUUAAACUAUAAAACUACGACCCACGCCACGAGUCGACCAACUAGAACUAACUCAAUAUAAUUUGUAUCAAAGAAGCCAUUUAUUAAAACUGUACAGUUAAAUAGCCUAGGCCAACACUGAAUCAAUUGAUUAAUUAACUCUGGUUCACAGUUAGGUCACGAAGGCGACAUUACCCUACAAAGGAAGAACAACUUCACUACGUGAGAAAACCACCUAUUUGGAAAGAAAGAUCUAGACAAAUAAACAUGACAAGAAUAGAGAGAAAGCCACAGCCAAUGCAAGAAAACUGCAUCUGCCAAAGGAAAAAGGGGUUAUUGGUGUGCAGUGAAUGUAGCCAUACUCUGAUCGGACGAAAACAGACUCCUUGCCCAGCCCAUCCUAAGACGGUCUUCCUCAUGGACUUGACUGUGUGUCCAAAGUGCUACGCAGGAGAAGAAAAGCUGCAAGAAUAUGGCCCUGAAGGUGCUUAAAACCUGGUGUAAAUUUGCCACCUUAACCCUAGAUCUGGCAGACUGGACAAACCUGUGAGCUGGCAGAGAUUUAAAGCAGUUCUUGUAGUUUUUACAUUAAAGCCGCAAUAAAAAAUUAGAUUUACAAGAAAAGUACAAACAAUUUACAUUUUCUGUUUUAUUAAACAACACUGGAUAUGAUUAUAACAAUAUGUUUUCAAUUAAUUUUCAAUAGUUUAAUGACAAAAUUUGUGACUUUAUUUCAAUGAAAUAACUAUAGAGGAAAAAAAUUAAGAAUAAUGCAUUUGUAUUGUGGGCAAUGUAAAUGUACAUAGGAACUAAAAUCUAGGGCUAAAUUGGUAAUUGCAUUUAGGAAAUGGAGAAUUUUUUUUCCAAACUAAGGAUAAAAUUAACUACUUAAAAGUAAUACUUUUGUUAUUACUUUGAUAUAUAUCAUAAAUUAAAUUUGAUGCGAUAUUAAUAGUGAACCGAAUAAAAAUCUAUACAUAUCAAUAUCUAAUCUGAUAAUAUAUUGCAGGUUCUCUGCUGAACUGUUCCCUUAAUAUCAUCUUUCUUUUGGUAUAUGGGUUAUUAAGUUAAACUAAUGUUUGAAGUACAAAAAUCAUUUUAAUGAUACAUGUAAAAUCCGUCUGAGAGAUUCUUGCCAGAUCUAGGGUGAACUUAAUUGUGUAAACAUUUACACAGCAUUUGUGCAAUGUUGUAUGGAUAAGUUUGUUAAUCUUUUUUCAGUUGUGUUUGUGUAGAUGUAAGAUUAAGCUCAUCAAGCAUAGUGAUUUACUGAUUAAAUUCAUUUUUUACCUACUUUGACAAAACUGUACAAAGUGUCCUUGUAGUUUAUAAGAGUUGUAUGAGGGUGUUUCAAUCUUGAACUUUAUCCUAAAAUAAACAAAAGUUUAAGGGAUGGAAAAUAGUUUUUUUACUCAUGUUUAUAUAAACAUAUAUAUCUAUAGUCCUCGCCACCCUAACUUGAGGCAGCCCAAGGCCGUACUAGAUCCGCACGCCGUAUAUCUAGUGCGGCCUUGGGCUGCCUCAAGUUAGGGUGGUGAGGACUAUAACUUCUUUAUUGAAUCAAAGUGACUCGACACAAAAGUCGUGAAGUAAUAGUUUUAGGUUUCAUAAACAUAAUUUUAAUUUUUUCAAAGUUGUGAACAUGAAAACAUUUAAUAGUUUCUUCCUAAUAUGAUACCAGACAUGGGCAUUUUUAGGUUGGUGUUUAACAUUUAAAAAUUGAAAAUAUAAGUAAAAUAUUGAUAUUUAAUUGUCAUAGUUAAGACAGUAUACAUCUGUUUUUAAAAGCUCUUUGGGAUUGUUGAAAAUAGUAGAUUGAAACAUCCAGUAAUUUGAGACUGAGUUGAAAGUUAUUACUCAGUUAAAAGAGGUUUGUUUAUUUUGUUAGGUGACAUUGAAGACUGAGCAAAAGUCGUUCCUUAUAAGUAAGAUAUUUGAGACUGAGUAAAAAGUCAUUACUCAUAACCUAAUGUAUGUUAGAUUGUAACCAUGUUUAUAUAUUGUUUAUUUCAAUAGGUAACUUGUAAGACUGAGUUAAAAGUCAUCACUCAUAAGUUAAGACUUGUAAGAUUGUAUUCAUGUUUACAUAUUGUAUUUUUCAUGAGGCAAGUGAAUUAAACUUGUACCGGUGCUUUCAUUUUGUUGCUUUUAAGCUUUGGAGAGUUUGUGUUAAAAUGAAACAAGUGAUAUUAAUUUUCCUCUUGGUAUAUUGUCAUUCAUUCAUCAUUUAACCCACCUUCUUUCCGUUUAUACGAAUUUAUAACAUCUAGCACAUUACAGUAGUAAAAAUUUAAUAAAUUUAUUUAGCCUAUGAAUAUUUAACUUCCAAACAAAUGGGUUUUUUCAGAAUUUGGUUAUUAAUUGAUAAGGCUGUUAAUGUUAAAAUUAUAAUAAUUAUAAAUGAAUAGUACAGUACAGUAUUGUACUUUAAAUAUUUUAACCAUAAAUUGCAACACACUUAAACCACUAAAAAUUAUUAAAAAGUAACUCUGAUAUAAUUUUUGUUCGCAAACAGGCUCUGUAGAUAAAUAGUAAAUGGAGUGAUCGUAACUAGAUUAAAUAAAUCUUCCAGUUUGAAGGAACAGGAAGGUUUUUGUAACAUUAAAAGAAACCAUAACACAAUUACUUGCAAAACAAAUAAAUUCAAUAAUAUACUUAGGAACUUGCCAUUGAACUUGAAUCUCAGAUUGAUUUGAAAUAACAACUUACUUAAUGAUAAAACAAAAAUCAUCACAAUAAAUAAAAAUAUCACUUAAAAUAGGAAAACUAAAAUACAUCACACUUUUUCUGAAGCGGACUCCCUGGUAUUGGACUAAUGUUCACUUAAAACCCGUCAAAAAACUACAUACUAAAUGAACAGAUAUGUAUUAGUAAACUACAGUAGCCCACCAUAUUUUACAAUAACAUCUACACUCUAUUAGCAUGUUUGUUUACAAGCUGUACAUAUUUGUGUCAUACAGAGGCGAUUGUACUUAGUCAAGUAGAGUCAACUCAGAGUCCAAUAUAUGAUAAUAACAUUAGUAAACACUUAUCAAUCAAAAGAGAACUACACUUUUCAGACCCUAAUUUUAAAUAUGUACCCUAAUUCUGUAGAUUCUGAUUAAAUUUAUCAGUAAAAGUAAGUUAUCUUUAUCCUUAAAGAGGGGUUCCAUAUCAAGUGGGGAACAACUUAUUAAAAGUAUUGAUCUCUAGUUCAACCGUAAUUUUAUUAGUAAGAUAGUAAGUGUUAUUAUUGUUAAAUCAAAAGUAUAUAUCUUUAUAAUAAGUUAUUGAAAGAACUGAAUGUAAAUUUUAUGUUUAGACGUUUUUGUUGCUUUGAAACUGAUAGUUCCUUUGAUAAUCUUGUCCUCAAGUAAUUGUACAGUAUAUUGACUGCAGUAUUUUAUCACUAUCUGGUUACCACUAAUAUUUCAUCACCUGUGAGUCUUAAGAAAAUAAGUUUGCGUACGUAUAUACACAACUGUACUGUAUCUAUCUUUUAUAAUACUAAGUAAUUAGAAUCUGCGUACUAUAUUCUCAUAAUAUUUCAAAACGUAAUUUGUUAACAAAACUGCCUAAUAAGGCUGGUUUAUUCAUGUCUAGGAGUUUAAUGUAUUACAGGCUCAAUAUAAACAUUUCCUUUCAUAAAAGUCUCCAGAUAAACAAUGCAAUAAUGAUUGGUUGAUAUUUUGGCUGCAAUUUGGUACAAUCUCAUUACAAACUUAGGUUUAAAAGAAUAUAAGUAAAACGAUCCAUGAUACCUUUUACAAUAUGUACUCGUGUCUAUCCAAAGUUCUUAGGUUAAGAUGACUAAGGUUAAAGAAAUUUAAGUUUUUGUUGACAGAUGUCUAUUUUGAGUUUUUUUGUAGUUAAUAAAGUUUAUCGUUGCAAUUUAUAAAA